rnacentral:rRNA from 1 species
GAUGAACGCUAGCGGCAGGCUUAAUACAUGCAAGUUGAGGGGCAGCAUGAUAUACGCGAGUAUAUUGAUGGCGACCGGCGGACGGGUGAGUAAUAGGUAGGGAGACCUACCUCAUACAGGGGGGAUAGCAUAGAGAAAUCUGUGGUAAUACCCCAUGAGGUUAUAUGAAUAGAGGCAUAUAAUCAAAGCAAUAAGUGAUUAUGGCGGUAUGAGAGGGGCCUACUGACCAUUAAGCUAGUUGGUGAGGUAAGGGCUCACCAAGGCGAAGACUGGUUAGGGUUUUGAGAGAGAGAACCCCCAACUUGGAACUGAGAGACGGUCCAGUACUCCCUAGGGACGGCAGGCAAGGUAGGGAAAUUAGUUGGGCGAAUUGGGGCGAAAGCCGUGACCCAGCCCAUGCCGCGUGAAAGGAGACGGCCUUAUCGGGGUUUAAACCUUAUUUACCUACGCCGGUAAAUUACGAGGGUUAGUUAACCGGGGUAACUACGUAAAUAGGAAACGGUUAGUAGUUAAGGUAAAAAGCAACCGGUCUAAACGUUCCGUACG